CCCUCUCGUUCACCUUCAUCAGUCAAACACGCCAUUCCAUUCCUUGUAACUCCCCUCAACCAUCGGCGGCAACAAGCAUCAACCUUCCGUCCAACUGUGGCGUGGGUGGCUUUCUUCCGACGGAAUGGUGGUCCGGCGAACCUGGGCUUCCCCUCCGGCAACCUUGGCGAACAGCAACCUUCUUCUGCCUGGAGCUUCGAACUCGAGUAAGAGGUGUUCAGCUGUUCUGAACGUGUUUUGGUGGUGAACCGGCGACCUAAGCUUCUUUCGGCGUCUCCUCUGUUCUCCGCGAUCGACGAUGGUAGCGUUGGUAUCCUUUUUCCUUCUCCAGCGUAACUUGGUGGUCCGGGAACUACGUGUUUCCAGGUGCGGCGUUCUUCCCGUUCUCCUCCUUGAUGCAACGGGCAGAGUGGCGUGUGUUGCACCUCCCGAGCAACCACCGGCUGUCACCCUUUUAAUGAAGCAACCAGUGGCUUCCUCUGGCGUAGCUUGUGGUCUCCCGGCGUGGCUGAGCUGAGCACCGAUGGUGGCAGGCAACAUGGUGGCUGAUGGAGUUGGCGAGCAGUCUGGAGUGCCGCUUGCCAGUACGUGAAAAAGACAAAAGGGUUCCCGGUAGAUUGGCUUUAUGAGUUGAGCCUUUGUUGGUGUUGUUUUUGGAUGGUUAAGCGAAUGAGGUGUUGCUGUAUCUCUAGAUCCCGUGUGUAUUGACUCUUGAGGAGAUGAUGGAUUGGUGCGAUGAGAUGAUUGAGCUGGUAAAGUGGACAGUGUGGGGACUUAUGUGUGAACGGACCGGUAGUACGUGAAGCUCCGGACUGCCAUUUGGUUACUUGUGACUUGUGGGCAACAUGGGAAACUCAUUCCGGUUGCCAGAGAUGGUAACUAACCCGUUGAGCUUGGAAUCUCAAUAGAGGGUGUAUACACUUAAAGUUGCUAGCUCUGUUUCCAUUGGGCUGCGGUCCUUGUUAUUGCGAUGACACUAUGCAUGUGAUCCGGAUCGUUGUGAUGACUACGUGAUACAUGUUUGUUGAUGAUUUGGAGCCCUCCACACUGAUCCACUAUGAAUUGAGCCGUGGUGCUGACUCCAUGGUAUAAGAACUUGGAAUUGUGAAUCUUGUAACAUGUAGUUGUCACUGUGACAUGUAGUUGCCAAUAUGUGAAUUUGUACUCUUUGCUUUUGAGCA